rnacentral:rRNA from 1 species
UACGAGAGGUGCUAACGUUAUUCGGAAUUACUGGGCGUAAAGGGUGCGUAGACGGCAUAGUAAGUCAACUGUUAAAUUUUCCGGCCCAACCGGAAGCAAGCGGUAGAAACUACUAAGCUAGAGGGUGGAAGAGAGAAGUGGAAUUCUCGGAGUAGCGGUAAAAUGCGUAGACAUCGAGAGGAACACCAAUGGCGAAGGCAGCUUCUUGGUCCAUACCUGACGUUGAGGCACGAAAGCGUGGGGAGCAAACAGG